UGAUGUGAGGGUGACCUGAAUGUGACACCUGUCACCCCAUUCAUCGCCACAGUUGACUCAGCUAAUCCAGAUGACUAGGUGGCUGUCUCCUUCCUCUCUCAUGGCUCCAUGUGUUUGCCUCUCAAAGCUGCAUGCCAGGUUGAAGAGAAUGACCUUCCCUCAACAGAGAAGAACAGCUCUCGGUGGAGGAGGUAAGAGUAGUUGUACUCCACUGAUGGAACCUCCAAAUAUGCUCUCAACAAAAGGCAGCUUAUGUGUCAAUCAAUUAAGUACUGAUUGGAAAUUUGGCCAGUCUACAUAUAC
ensembl:misc_RNA 7SK 7SK RNA